rnacentral:rRNA from 1 species
UGGGGAAUAUUGGACAAUGGGCGAAAGCCUGAUCCAGCCAUGCCGCGUGUGUGAAGAAGGUCUUCGGAUUGUAAAGCACUUUAAGUUGGGAGGAAGGGCAGUAAGCGAAUACCUUGCUGUUUUGACGUUACCGACAGAAUAAGCACUGGCUAACUCUGUGCCAGCAGCCGCGGUAAUACAGAGGGUGCAAGCGUUAAUCGGAAUUACUGGGCGUAAAGCGCGCGUAGGUGGUUCGUUAAGUUGAAUGUGAAAGCCCCGGGCUCAACCUGGGAACUGCAUCCAAAACUGGCGAGCUAGAGUAGGGCAGAGGGUGGUGGAAUUUCCUGUGUAGCGGUGAAAUGCGUAGAUAUAGGAAGGAACACCAGUGGCGAAGGCGACCACCUGGGCUCAUACUGACACUGAGGUGCGAAAGCGUGGGGAGCAAACAGG